GAUGAACGCUAGCUACAGGCUUAACACAUGCAAGUCGAGGGGCAGCAGGGAUUUAGCUUGCUAAAUCCGCUGGCGACCGGCGCACGGGUGCGUAACGCGUAUCCAACUUUCCCGUUACUCAGGGAUAGCCUUCCGAAAGGGAGAUUAAUACCUGAUGGUGUUUGAAGUUCGCAUGUUCUUCAAACUAAAGAUUUAUCGGUAACGGAUAGGGAUGCGUGACAUUAGAUAGUAGGCGGGGUAACGGCCCACCUAGUCUACGAUGUCUAGGGGUUCUGAGAGGAAGGUCCCCCANACUGGAACUGAGACACGGUCCAGACUCCUACGGGAGCAGCAGUGAGGAAUAUUGGUCAAUGGUCGGAAGACUGAACCAGCCAAGUAGCGUGAAGGAUGAAGGUUC
rnacentral:rRNA from 1 species